AGGGACUCAUGCUCCGCUAAGGUUUCAGUCUGAGAACAUUUUUGCCAGUUUCUGACACUCUCCUAGAUGCUGCAGACCCUUUCAUUCAUGGGACAGAUGUGAGAACAUGGAGAAAGCGCUGCCAUUAGGAUGGGAGGUCAACAUGGCUCUGCUGGAUGCCAGUGGCUUUGGAUCUGAUCUGACAGAGCUGUAAUCAAUACUCAGCAUUUCCUCCAUGCAGUUACUCCGAUCAUUUACAUAUUGCCUUACUCCUCAUGGCAAACCUACACAUUCUUGUGAUUUUACAGAUGAAAAGACUGAGGCAUGGAAGGGAUGAAGAGCCUGUCCAGGACCAGCAGUUAAUCACAGGAGAACUGGGAGCUGAGCCCAGGCUGCCUGGCUUGCAGCUGCCCUGGGCCUGCCUCUCUGUGCUGCAGGGCUGUCAGAUCCAAUGCCCUUGGCAUCUGUAGAGAAAAGCAAUCCACACAAUUCUUAUACAUAAAAUAAAAACCAUUUUGGCUACUAAAAAAUAU
rnacentral:lncRNA from 10 species